AACGAACGCUGGCGGCAAGCUUAACACAUGCAAGUCGAACGCCCCGCAAGGGGAGUGGCAGACGGGUGAGUAACGCGUGGGAACGUGCCCUUCGCUUCGGAAUAGCCCCGGGAAACUGGGAGUAAUACCGAAUACGCCGUAUUGGGAAAGAUUUAUCGGCGAAGGAUCGGCCCGCGUUAGAUUAGCUAGUUGGCGGUGUAAUGGACCACCAAGGCUACGAUCUAUAGCUGGUCUGAGAGGAUGAUCAGCCACACUGGGACUGAGACACGGCCCAGACUCCUACGGGAGGCAGCAGUGGGGAAUCUUGGACAAUGGGCGCAAGCCUGAUCCAGCCAUGCCGCGUGAGUGAAGAAGGCCUUAGGGUUGUAAAACUCUUUCGCCGGAGAAGAUAAUGACGGUAUCCGGAGAAGAAGCCCCGGCUAACUUCGUGCCAGCCGCCGCAGUAAUAC
rnacentral:rRNA from 1 species